GAUGAAGAACGUAGCGAAAUGCGAUAAGUAAUGUGAAUUGCAGAAUUCAGUGAAUCAUCGAAUCUUUGAACGCAUCUUGUGCUCCUUGGUAUUCCGAGGAGCAUGCCUGUUUGAGUGUCAUUUAACUUCUCAACCACAUUGGAUAUUUUUUUUCCGAUGCCGGCUUGGAUGUGGGGGUUGUUUGCAGGCUUUUUGUAACAAAAAAGGUCGGCUCCCCUGAAAUGUAUUAGUGGUAUCUGAGGCUAUUACUAUUAGGUGUGAUAAUUAUCUAUGCCUUUUGGGUAUGCCGCAUGAACAGAUUAUGCUGCUUCUAACGAAAACUAUUUUGAUGAAUUUGACCUCAAAUCAGGUAGGACUACCCGCUGAACUUAAGCAUAUCAAUAAGCGGAGGA
rnacentral:misc_RNA from 1 species